GCAUGUGAAGGCCAUCUGUUUGUAACACAUCUCCCCUGAGGGCCAAAGGUGCUUCAGCUGAUCUGAUGGGGAGCUCUUUCUCUCACUAUUCUACAUGGGCACCUGCCAAUGAUGUACAUUUGGUCAAGGAGCACAGCCUUCCAAACAGAAGAGCCAUUUAUCUUAUCAAGGGUAUUCAAGGAUAUGUGCUGUUCUGCAAGUUCCACCUAAGUUUAUUUGAGGCCAAUGGGGGAAAUAACAUAGGACAGUAAAUCUUUUAAGACUAGCUUUCUCU
rnacentral:snRNA from 1 species